AUGGGAGAGGAGCUAGCAAAGCUAUUGGAGGCCGGAUUCAUCAGAGAUAUAAAACAUCCGGACUGGCUAGCAAACCUGGUGAUGGUACCAAAGAAGGACAAAUCCUGGCGCCUGUGUGUUGAUUUUAAAGACCUUAACAAGGCUUGCCCAAAGGAUCCCUUCCCCCUCCCUCGCAUCGAUCAAAUUAUUGACGCUACCGCAGGACAUGAUUCAUUGUGUUUCCUCGACGCAUAUUCUGGCUACCAUCAAAUCAAGAUGGCAGAACCAGACCAAGCCGCAACGGCAUUUAUCACACAAUACAGACCAUUCUGCUUCAACACGAUGCCCUUCGGGCUCAAAAACGCCGGCGCAACAUAUCAGCGCAUGAUUCAGACAUGUCUGGCAAGCCAGAUCGGCAAAACAGUGGAGGCAUGUGUAGAUGAUGUGGUCGUCAAAACUAGACAUGUUGAAUCUCUAGUAGACGACUUGAGGCUCACAUUUGAUAACCUCCGAACAUACGACAUCAAGCUCAACCCGGAAAAAUGCAUUUUCGGCGUUCUAGCCGGAAAGCUCUUGGGUUUCAUUGUAUCCGGUAGAGGAAUUGAAGCAAAUCCAGCCAAGAUCUGA
rnacentral:rRNA from 1 species